CCUACGGGAGGCAGCAGUGGGGAAUUUUGGACAAUGGGGGCAACCCUGAUCCAGCCAUGCCGCGUGAGUGAAGAAGGCCUUCGGGUUGUAAAGCUCUUUCGGCCGGAACGAAAUCGCGCACGUGAAUAACGUGCGUGGAUGACGGUACCGGAGUAAGAAGCACCGGCUAACUACGUGCCAGCAGCCGCGGUAAUACGUAGGGUGCGAGCGUUAAUCGGAAUUACUGGGCGUAAAGCGUGCGCAGGCGGUUCGCUAAGUCAGACGUGAAAGCCCCGGGCUUAACCUGGGAACGGCGUUUGAAACUGGCGGGCUCGAGUACGGCAGAGGGGGGUGGAAUUCCACGUGUAGCAGUGAAAUGCGUAGAUAUGUGGAGGAACACCGAUGGCGAAGGCAGCCCCCUGGGCCGAUACUGACGCUCAUGCACGAAAGCGUGGGGAGCAAACAGGAUUAGAUACCCUGGUAGUCCACGCCCUAAACUAUGUCAACUAGUUGUCGGGGAAGCAAUUCCUUGGUAACGCAGCUAACGCGUGAAGUUGACCGCCUGGGGAUACGGUCGCAAGAUUAAAACUCAAAUGAAUUGACGG
rnacentral:rRNA from 1 species